rnacentral:tRNA from 1 species
GGGUCGUUAGCUCAGCCGGUAGAGCAGCGGACUUUUAAUCCGUUGGUCGCGAGUUCGAAUCUCGCACUGCCCACCA